rnacentral:lncRNA from 1 species
CUGAAUGUAAGAAUUCUGUGACUUUUCCAAUAUUCUUGUAUCAUAAGGUUAAGCUAGAUAAAGGAGGCUGGCGUCAAAGAGGGAUCCUGGAGUCCCCAACAGUCAACACCCCAGGAAAAUGCUAGCCUUGCCACCUAAGACUUAUCUUCAUAUGAAUUCAAAUUUAGUUUCUGAUACUAGCUGUGUGACUGGAUAAGUCACAUAACUGCCUCCGGUUCCUCAUUUAUUAAAUGAGCUAGAAAAGGAAAUGGCAAACCACUUUAGUAUCUUUGCCAAGAAAACCCCACAGAGUUGUGAAGAGUUGGAUAUAACUGAACAACAACUAAUGUUCAGAAAAAUUAAGUCAUUUUAUGCAAGGGCACCUACCAACACCAGAAAUUGAGCCCAUUUCAACUGACCCCCAAAGGACUGGAGUAACUUUCCAUUGUUCUGUACUGCUACUUUUAGCUUUAUCAUUACUACUAAAAAAUAUUUCUAAACUCUUAUUUUUGAACGUUGUUUAGUGGUGUAUCAUUUUCAAAAAAAGAAGCCUGACCAGCCCAUGACACCUUAAUUUACCCUUUCAUAAUGGUAUUGGUUACAUGGCUCAAAUUACAAGUCAGUCUAUCUGUUAUGGUGGGAAAGAGUUGUUAAUUUAAAUUUUUGUUAUUGAGUUUUUCAUUGUGUCUGAUUCUUCAUGACUCCUUUUGAGGUUCUUGACAAGUUAUUAGUGCAAUUUGACAUUUCCUUCUCCAGGUCAUUUUACAGAUGAGGAAACUCAGGCAGAUAGUGUGAAGUGACUUACCCAGGAUUGCAUAGCUAAUAAGUGGCUAAAACUGGAUUUAAACUCAGAAAGAUGUCUGAUGAUGAAGAAUAAUUCCAUGCCCAGUGCUCUAUCCAUAGAUUGAAUGAAAUUUUAUCUGCCUUUGAGAAAGCAUUUAAGGUACCACAGGACCAUUAGAUUUUCAUUUUGAAUAUGUUAUUAUUGCAAAUUAAUAGAGCUCUUGCAAAUAAUAUGGUGCCUUUAAGUAUAAAGAUUAGGGAUUAAUCAAGUAAUAUCAGUGAACACCCAAACAUACCAUGGUUAAGUAAUCAUCAGAUAAUUUACAAGUCAAUGUCCUGUCAUGAAAUGUACCUAGUGUUAACAUAAAGAUCACAUUUUAUUCCUUCUAUUUUUCUGCCUUUUUAGCAAUCAAAUCUUUUCAUUUCCACAUCUUAUUCUGGGAAUGCCAACUAAGUUAAAACUGUUCUAUCAUUACUCAAUAAGAUGUCAUUCAAUUACUCAUCUGUCUGACUUCCUAAACCACAGUACCUUUUUUUGGCUAACACUGCCCUUUAUAUGUUACCUUCUGUUACAGUAUAAACUUAUAAUAAAAAUCUUAUUUUUUUUCCACGUAUCCACUGUGCAUGGCACCUUGUAUGAGCUUAAUAAAUGUUACUUGUUUUUCGUUUUGUUUUUUCCCUAUUCAAAGUGAAUUGAACUUGAAAUUUGGAAGAUUUGGGUUCUACUUCUACCUCUGACACUUAUUACCUAGUAGUGCAUGAGCAAAUCAUUUACUCUUUUUAAGCCUUAAUUUCUUCAUCUAUAAAAUGAGGGUCUGAGUAUCUAGCUUCUUUUUCACUUGGCUUACUUACCUUGGUUACUUCUCUGACUUCUCCAUUAUGCUCCAGAAAACUCAUUAUCAGUUUUCCUCCCAUUAUUGCCUUCUCAUUGAGGGGGUGAAGCCACGAACUCCAAAACUUCCAUUUAAGGAAAAAGUUUAAUCGAAAAAUUCUCAUUUCUCACAUGGCUGAACUAUUUUAGGGUAUCUCUGACUUUUCACCAUGCUCCAGAUUAUUGAAUACUUUAAACACAACCCUGUUUCAGUUUCCUUUUGUCUAUUGUCUUCAUUAGAUUGUAACGUUCUUUAGGGUUCCUUGUUUUGUAUUUGUAUCUCUAGCACUUAGCAUAGUGCCUGGCACAUAGAAGGCAUUUGAUGAAUGUUUAUAAACUAUUAACUCAACUUACAGGUAUUUUGAAGAUCAAAUUGUAUGGCACUUUUCAAGCACUGCAUAAAUUUCAAGUAAUACUCAAUAGUAUUGGUGCUUUUCACACUUUUCCAUUUAUCACAAUCCUUAGACUGCUAUAUUUCCUAUGUUGUAGAAGAUCUUGUGCAGCAGGAGCCUUUCUUGAAAGCAAAUGAUGACUGAGGGUAAAUUACAGUACUAUUCCAAUUCAGUAGAUGGUGCCAUCAUCAAACUACAGAUGAUCUUGUUCUCCAGUUACUCUCUUGUUUGAUUUCAGAAAGCAGCAACUUUGUCAGUCAAAACUGACUUUUUUUCUAUUUUGAUAAAUCAUGUGUUAAGAAAUUUGGGGUGUUUUUACUUUGUGUCGUUUAAAGCCAGGGCUGUGGAAGAAAUCUUAUUUAUUUCUGUUUGGAUACUAUUUUUUUUUUAAGUUCUUAAGAGUAUCAUAUAUAGGAAGUCUAGAAAAGAGUUUAA